AGAGUCCUUUCCUGGCUCAAGAUGAACGCUAGCGACAGGCUUAACACAUGCAAGUCGAGGGGCAGCGGGGUAGGAAGCUUGCUUUCUGCCGCCGGCGACCGGCGCACGGGUGAGUAACACGUAUGCAACCUGGCCGUGACAGAUGGAUAACCGGGAGAAAUCCCGCCUAAUACAACAUAAUGCCGGGAGGGGGACAUCCCCUGCCGGCCAAAGGGGGCGACCCCGGUCACGGAUGGGCAUGCGGCGCAUUAGGUAGUUGGUGGGGCAACGGCCCACCAAGCCGACGAUGCGUAGGGGUUCUGAGAGGAAGGUCCCCCACAUUGGAACUGAGACACGGUCCAAACUCCUACGGGAGGCAGCAGUGAGGAAUAUUGGUCAAUGGCCGGAAGGCUGAACCAGCCAAGUCGCGUGAGGGAAUAAGGCCCUACGGGUCGUAAACCUCUUUUGCCAGGGAGCGAUGCCGUCCACGUGUGGACGGAAGGAGAGUACCUGGAGAAAAAGCAUCGGCUAACUCCGUGCCAGCAGCCGCGGUAAUACGGAGGAUGCGAGCGUUAUCCGGAUUUAUUGGGUUUAAAGGGUGCGUAGGCGGCCUGCCAAGUCAGCGGUAAAAUUGCGGGGCUCAACCCCGUACAGCCGUUGAAACUGCCGGGCUCGAGUGGGCGAGAAGUAUGCGGAAUGCGUGGUGUAGCGGUGAAAUGCAUAGAUAUCACGCAGAACCCCGAUUGCGAAGGCAGCAUACCGGCGCCCGACUGACGCUGAGGCACGAAAGUGCGGGGAUCAAACAGGAUUAGAUACCCUGGUAGUCCGCACAGUAAACGAUGA
rnacentral:rRNA from 1 species